UCCAGACUCCUACGGGAGGCAGCAGUGGGGAAUAUUGCACAAUGGGGGAAACCCUGAUGCAGCGACGCCGCGUGAGUGAAGAAGUAUUUCGGUAUGUAAAGCUCUAUCAGCAGGGAAGAAAAUGACGGUACCUGACUAAGAAGCCCCGGCUAACUACGUGCCAGCAGCCGCGGUAAUACGUAGGGGGCAAGCGUUAUCCGGAUUUACUGGGUGUAAAGGGAGCGUAGACGGCAGCGCAAGCCUGAAGUGAAAUGCCGGGGCCCAACCCCGGAACUGCUCUGGAAACUGUGAAGCUGGAGUGCAGGAGAGGUAAGCGGAAUUCCUGGUGUAGCGGUGAAAUGCGUAGAUAUCAGGAGGAACACCGGCGGCGAAGGCGGCUUACUGGACUGUAACUGACGUUGAGGCUCGAAGGCGUGGGGAGCAAACAGGAUUAGAUACCCGCGUAA
rnacentral:rRNA from 1 species